UGUAGCAAACUGAACUAUUUAUCAAACUGAAGUAGAAAACCACACUUUUUUACCAAAGCAAACUGAACUAUUUAGCAAACUGAACAAGAAAACCACAAUUUUUUACUAGAUACCUGAACUAUUUAUUGAUCUAUAUCUGAAUAGAUCACAACUGGAAAACCACACUGAUUCUGAAUCGACAACAACAUGGCCACACUAUUUAUCAAUCAAAAUAACUCAAAGUACUUACGAAACAUAAACUUAAAAUACUGAAAGUAUUGAUAGAUUUACAUCAGAGUAGGGCAUGCUAAUUAAGAAAUUGAACUAAAACACCAUAUUGAUUCUGAAUCCAUACUGUUUAUCAAACAUAAACAAAAAAACUACACUAUUUAUCAAACUAUACUGUUUGUUGAAUGUACAAAUUAUUAACAGAGAAUCACACUAGUUCGUGUAAUAGUGUAAAUAAAUGUUUAUACUCGUUCGUGAAUGCAUCCCAGAUUUUACUAUUUCCUUACAUUUCAAUUCCAUUUACAAAUGAAGCAAAUUGUAAACUAUUUCGUAAAUACUGUUUAUUAAACUUAAAAAUCGUGAACUAUUUUGUAAACAAUGUCUAUUAAAAUAAAACACCACCGGAAUAGAAUGUUGAUUAUAUUUAAGUUAUUUAAGCAAAGAAACCAAAAUAUGAGGGCAAGAAAAUACUAUUUAAAGGUUAUAAGAAAACGAGCAAUUAUCAAAGUGAAGUAAAAAUAUACCAUUUUGCAGAAACAUUGCUCAUUCAAUGAAAUCGAAGCAUGCAAACUUACAUAUUACUGUAAAAUCACCGAAAAUAUCAGAAAUUUUGUGGUACGUACCUCUGUUUCUUCUCUGUUGCUUUUAUUUCCCAAUUUUUUUGUGUGUUUUCGUCUGGAUGCAAAUCAGAACUCUGAACUGGAAACAUAAUUCAUUUUUUAGAAUCUCAAACAUGCAAAUGUACAUAUUUAGUAAAUUAAAGUAAGAAAUCAUCAAGAAUAUCAGAAAUUAUAGGUUCGUACCUGUGUUUGUCCGAUUUCGACUCUGCAAACAUACAAUUCGAAUGUUUUCAGUUUUUCGUCUUCAAAUGGAGUUUUUGGGUUGAGAAAUUCCGUAUUUGAUGUGUAGAUUAUUGUUUGAAAACUUGAAAAUCGAACUUGAAAAUGCUUUGAGAUCUUGACGUUUGGAGUAAUGGAGGUUUCGAUUUUUUGGUACGGUGUGAAUGGGUUGGUGAACAUUAAUGGCAUUGGGAGGGAUGAUGAAUUUUAGUAACUGCAACUUUGGCUAAUGGGCUUGGGUUAGGCUCCGUUAGGGGCAAUUUUGGAAUAUUAAUUGUUAUGCGGUUUGGGCUUUUUGGUGAGCCCGUGUGUUUUAGUGUUGUAGGGCCUAAGAUAAAAGUUUUGUGUUCUUAUGAUUAAAAUUUAAGCCAUUUUUAUUAAAUAAUAGUUUAGGGUGUUUUUUCAUUAAAUAAAAGUUAACCCAAGCCCCUUUCAUUAAAGCUCCCUUAAAAUAAAGUGAGUUUUAACGAAACACUCCUGGUACUGUUCACUUUUAGCGAAAAUGACAUUUUUACUCUAAAAAAUCCCUCAUUGUAAGAUUCACUUACAACACCUUUUUGUCAUUUUAAUUAAAACUCAAAGUUUUCAAACUCUUUUCAUUAGUUUUUCUUAAAAUAAACCUCUCCUACAUCUGUCAAUUCUCAAUCUCAACUACGAAAUCUCAUGUACGAGUUGAUCACUUGAUAAUUAAUGAGUUCGAUAGUAUGGUUGGCUAUUUUCACACCUUAAGAGUAAAAUAUUUUUGUACAGAAAAUUGGAAAAUAUGUUGUAUUAAUUAGUAGUCGACCAUUAUUAUUUUGAGGUAAAGAUGACUCAAGUUUGACUAACCUAAAUGAUGAGUUCGAUACCUAAUUGUAAUGGUUGGUUCAUUAUUUGAUAACAAAAUCUCUACCCCAUACAGUAAAAUAUUUUUGUAUAAAAAAUAAUAGAAUAUGUGUUGCUUUAGUGUUUGGCCAUUAUUAUUAAGUAAAGAUAUGGCUACUUAGUAUUACGGUUUAGUUGUAUUCCUCUUCACUUGUAAGUGAGACGUCAUAGGUUCGAUUCUCGCCAAAGGAAAAUUUGAACCACAUUAUUGCUAGGCUUAGCCACUCUCCCACCCCCUUUAGUGUAGAUAAUAUCGUUUGUUAAAAUAAAAUAAAAAAACAAAGAUAUGAGGUCCUAACUAUUAAUUAAGGACAAAAUUAUUAUCCCUCAAUUUUACUAACACUAUAAUUAAUUCUAAUGUGAAAUGAGAGUGUAGCCCAAGCACCCAACAGGCUGAUUCUAGCCGAGUUAGGCCUGGGCAACCAUUUGGGGCCAAAACAAUUGGGAGCACCAAAAUUAUUAAGGUGGUAUCUUCAUGUAUAUUUUCAUAAGAGUAUAAACUUAUAAAAUUUGGUCAAAUUAUCCAAAAAAUUAACUAGAAUUGGUGGGUUCUAUUGUUUAAAAUUAGUGAGGAAGACUUGGGUUUGAAACACUGUGUGUUUAUUUACUUUCCAAUUUUUACGAUUUUCUUUUCAUAAGAAUAUAAAUUUAUAUAAUUUGUUCAAAUUUUCAAAAUGUUUAACUAAAAGUGGUGUUUUGUGCUAUAUUAAAUUAAUGAGGAGGUUCUAGAUAAAUGUUGUGUGUGGUUUUUUUACUUUCCAAUUUUUAUGAAUUUCUUUUCAUAAGAGUAAAAAAUCGUAAGACAUUUGGUUAAAUGAUCAAGAAGUUUAAUCAGAAGCUGUGGUUUUGUUGUUUAAAAUUAACAAGAGGUCUUGAGUUCGAAAUGCUAUGUGUAUGUUUACUCUUUCUAAUUUCUAGGAAUUUUUGUUUGGCUGUUAAUUUCUUCUUAAUUACUAGCUAAUAGCAAUGUGAGUUGUAGUUUUUAAACAUUUAUUCCAAUUCAAGUCUAACCUUCAACAAAGAGUAAUGCAUAAUUUUAGACCAAAUUUGCAAUUCAUAUGACCUGUCACCAACAGGUUUAAUUAAGUCAUCAUUCAUUGCUUAUACAUAUCACUUAAAGACUUGAAAGAAUGAUUAAUUAACAAGGUUAGUAAAGGGAAGAAAAGAAAAACCUCCCGAUUUAUAUAAAACACUUUAAAAAUUCAUAUAGAAGGAAAACAAAACUCAUCAUCUAUCUACUUGUAAGCCCGGUGUUUUCUGAUUACCUUCUCUCAACACAAAAUAAAUUAGUUUUUAUGUAUUUCAAAAUUAUUGAGUUUGAAGUGCUUUUCUAAGUAUUAUUUUAUCGAAAUCUUACGUGAGAAAACAAAUAAUUUUUCUUAUAUGAAGUUAGGACACAUAUUUUUGCGUCGCCCCAAACCUCAAAAAUCUCAAAACCGGCCCUGAUACCCAACUAGGUGAUCAACUUAAUUUUUUAUUGAUUAAUUUUGUUAACUUGUUUUGUAGAUUUUUUUUUUCAAACAAUAGGAACUUGGGGGGUGUAUUCAAUUGGGAUUUUGAGGGAUUUUAAUUCUUUUAAUGAAUCUAGAAGUAUCCAAUUAGAAUUUUAAGUAAUUUGAAAUUCAACAUGUAUUCAAUCAGGAUUUUAAGACAGUUUAUUAACAUCCUUAGAAAUUCAGGUGUAUUCAAUUAUGAUUUUAAAGAACUUUAUAACAGUUUAGGUGUAUUCAAUUAGGAAUAUUUUAGAAAAUUUUAAAAAGUUAAGGAAUUUGAGGGAAUUGAUUUCGUAGUAUAUUUUAUACAUUCCCAUAUCUCACCUCUUCCCCUGAAAUUUUGACGAAAUUGAAUCAAAAUUUUACACGAAAAAUCUACAAAUCAAUUAAACUCCAUCAAAAUUCGUACAUUUAUAAAUCCAUUUAUAUCUCCAAAAUUUCAAUUGAAUACACCUUCCUUAUUUUAUAGUUAAUUCACUUCAAAUUCCAAGAUAUAGUGCUAAAUAAUAUAUAUGUAGGUACAUUCAUAGAUGUUGGUUGCAUUGGACAAAAACUGUACCAAUACAUGACACAAAACAAUGCAAAUGUGCACAUGUAAGAACUUUUCAUUAAUAAUCGUGAUGUACAAGAUUAACAGAUAUUUAGUGUUCUUGAAAUAUGAAGUCGCUAUUCUACGUAUCAUAAUAAGUGGAGAAGAGUUUUUCUCUAAGUGUCUAACUACUUGUAUCAUAACACGUGGUGUACGAUGUAUGAUGUAUCAGCCCAUGUUUCGACUAAAAAUUUCUUGUAUAAAACUCACGUCACGUUCCAAAAAUUUGUUAACAAAAAAUUACUCAUGUUUAUAUUUAGGGGGACAAGCAUGAACUUCCAACUACUUGACAAUAUGGGAGUAGUACAACUACAAGUACAUGCAAAGUUCUUUCUUUCUUAUAACGAGGUAGACUAUUUUAUAUAUUUUAGGUCAUCUCCAACCGACGGUUGGCCGGAUGGCUCGUUUUAGCCCUCUGGCCCUCCAAGAAAUUAAUAUUUUAAUGAACAGUACAG
rnacentral:lncRNA from 1 species